rnacentral:rRNA from 1 species
CCUACGGGAGGCAGCAGUGGGGGAUAUUGCACAAUGGGGGAAACCCUGAUGCAGCGACGCCGCGUGAGUGAAGAAGUAUUUCGGUAUGUAAAGCUCUAUCAGCAGGGAAGAAAAUGACAGUACCUGACCAAGAAGCCCCGGCUAACUACGUGCCAGCAGCCGCGGUAAUACGUAGGGGGCAAGCGUAAUACGGAUUUACUGGGUGUAAAGGGAGCGUAGACGGUUAUGUAAGUCUGGAGUGAAAGCCCGGGGCCCAACCCCGGGACUGCUUUGGAAACUGUGUAACUGGAGUGCAGGAGGGGCAGGCGGAAUUCCUGGUGUAGCGGUGAAAUGCGUAGAUAUCAGGAGGAACACCGGCGGCGAAGGCGGCCUGCUGCACUGAAACUGACGUUGAGGCUCGAAAGCGUGGGGAGCAAACAGGAUUAGAUACCCCAGUAGUC